rnacentral:misc_RNA from 1 species
UUAAGUUCAGCGGGUAUCCCCGCCUGAUCCGAGGCCAACCUUGUGUAAUUUCGUUCCGGGCGGCCUCCGUCCGGGCACCCGAGCGAGGGUUUUGCUACGCUCGGGGCCGGGCGACGGCGCCCACGAGUUUCGGGCCCGCCCGCGGGCGGGGCCCAUCACCAAGCAGGGCUUGAGGGUUGAAAUGGCGCUCGAACAGGCGU